UAUUGGUCAAUGGGCGCAGGCCUGAACCAGCCAAGAAGCGUGAAGGAUGACUGCCCUAUGGGUUGUAAACUUCUUUUAUAUGGGAAUAAAGUGAGGAACGUGUUCCUUUUUGUAUGUACCAUAUGACUAAGGAUCGGCUAACUCCGUGCCAGCAGCCGCGGUAAUACGGAGGAUCCGAGCGUUAUCCGGAUUUAUUGGGUUUAAAGGGAGCGUAGGUGGAUUGUUAAGACAGUUGUGAAAGUUUGCGGCUCAACCGUAAAAUUGCAGUUGAAACUGGCAGUCUUGAGUACAGUAGAGGUGGGCGGAAUUCGUGGUGUAGCGGUGAAAUGCUUAGAUAUCACGAAGAACUCCGAUUGCGAAGGCAGCUCACUGGACUGUUAACUGACACUGAGGCUCGAAAGUGUGGGUAUCAAACA
rnacentral:rRNA from 1 species